rnacentral:hammerhead_ribozyme from 1 species
AUCCAGCUGAUGAGUCCCGAAUAGAACGAAACGUGUGUAUUGGAU